UACGUAGGGUCCGAGCGUUGUCCGGAAUUAUUGGGCGUAAAGGGCUCGUAGGCGGUUUGUCGCGUCGGGAGUGAAAACCUACAGCUUAACUGUGGGCUUGCUUUCGAUACGGGCAGACUUGAGGCAUGCAGGGGAGAACGGAAUUCCUGGUGUGAGCGGUGAAAUGCGCAGAUAUCAGGAGGAACACCGGUGGCGAAGGCGGUUCUCUGGGCAUGUUCUGACGCUAGGA
rnacentral:rRNA from 1 species